ACCCGCUGAACUUAAGCAUAUCAAUAAGCGGAGGAAAAGAAACCAACAGGGAUUGCCCUAGUAACGGCGAGUGAAGCGGCAACAGCUCAAAUUUGAAAUCUGGCGUCUUUGGCGUCCGAGUUGUAAUUUGCAGAGGGCGCUUUGGCAUUGGCAGCGGUCCAAGUUCCUUGGAACAGGACGUCACAGAGGGUGAGAAUCCCGUACGUGGUCGCUAGCCUUUACCGUGUAAAGCCCCUUCGACGAGUCGAGUUGUUUGGCAAUGCAGCUCUAAAUGGGAGGUAAAUUUCUUCUAAAGCUAAAUACUGGCCAGAGACCGAUAGCGCACAAGUAGAGGGAUCGAAAGAUGAAAAGCACUUUGGAAAGAGAGUUAAAAAGCACGUGAAAUUGUUGAAAGGGAAGCGCUUGCAGCCAGACUUGCCUGUAGUUGCUCAUCCGGGUUUUUACCCGGUCCACUCUUCUAUAGGCAGGCCAGCAUCAGUUUGGGCGGUUGGAUAAAGGUCUCUUUCAUGUCCCUCUCUUCGGGGAGAACUUAUAGGGGAGACGACAUGCAACCAGCCCGGACUGAGGUCCGCGCAUCUGCUAGGAUGCUGGCGUAAUGUCUGU
rnacentral:rRNA from 1 species